rnacentral:rRNA from 1 species
CCCUUAGAUGUUCUGGGCCGCACGCGCGCUACACUGACGAAUGCAACGAGCUUAUAACCUUGGCCGAAAGGUCUGGGUAAUCUCCAAAUUUCGUCGUGAUGGGGAUAGAUUAUUGCAAUUAUUAAUCUUCAACGAGGAAUGCCUAGUAAGCGUGAGUCAUCAACUCGCGCUGAAUACGUCCCUGCCCUUUGUACACACCGCCCGUCGCUCCUACCGAUUGGAUGGCCCGGUGAAGUGGUCGGAUCGGUGGCGCCGUCUCGUGCGGUGCUACGGAAAGUCAGGUGAACCUUAUCACUUAGAGGAAGGAGAAGUCGUAACA